rnacentral:rRNA from 1 species
AAUGAACGCUGGCGGCGUGCUUUACACAUGCAAGUCGAGCGAGGCGUCCCGCAAGGGACAGUCGAGCGGCGAACGGGUGAGUAACGCGUGGAUAACCUGCCCUGAGGUGGGGAAUAACCCGGGGAAACUCGGGCUAAUACCGCAUGAUACCGAGAGGUCAAAGCGGGGUCGCAAGAUCUCGUGCCACAGGAGGGGUCCGCGUUCGAUUAGCUAGUUGGUAGGGUAAUGGCCUACCAAGGCCACGAUCGAUAGCCGGCCUGAGAGGGUGAUCGGCCACACUGGAACUGAGACACGGUCCAGACUCCUACGGGAGGCAGCAGUGGGGAAUUUGCGCAAUGGGCGAAAGCCUGACGCAGCAACGCCGCGUGGAGGAUGAAGGUCUUUGGAUUGUAAACUCCUGUCAGCAGGGAAAAAGGGACCGACCCAAUACGUCGGGGACUUGAUUGUACCUGCAGAGGAAGCCCCGGCUAACUCUGUGCCAGCAGCCGCGGUAAUACAGAGGGGGC